rnacentral:rRNA from 1 species
AUUGAACGCUGGCGGCAGGCCUAACACAUGCAAGUCUAGCUAGCGGCGGCCGGGUGAGUAAUGUCUGGUGACUGCCCGAUCGAGGGGGAUAACUCCUGGAAACGGUGGCUAAUACCGCCUCCUUUCGGAUCACCCAUAUGGGAUUAGCUAGUAGGUAAGGUAAUGGCUUACCUAGUCGCCGAUCCCUAGCUGGUCUGAGAGGAUGAUCAGCCACACUGGGACUGAGAAGCGGCCCAGACUCCUACGGAGGCAGCAGUGGGGAAUAGUGCACAAUGGGCGCAAGCCGGAUGCAGCCAUGCCGCGUGGAUGAAGAAGGCCCUAGGGUUGUAAAGUACUUUCAGUCGGGAGGCGUUACCGACAGAAGAAGGACCGGCGAACUCCGUGCCAGCAGCCGCGGUAAUUC